GUGGGGAAUAUUGGACAAUGGGCGCAAGCCUGAUCCAGCCAUGCCGCGUGAGUGAUGAAGGCCUUAGGGUUGUAAAGCUCUUUCGUCAGGGAAGAUAAUGACGGUAUCCGGAGAAGAAGCCCCGGCUAACUUCGUGCCAGCAGCCGCGGUAAUACGAAGGGGGCUAGCGUUGUUCGGAAUUACUGGGCGUAAAGCGCACGUAGGCGGACAUUUAAGUCAGGGGUGAAAUCCCGGAGCUCAACUCCGGAACUGCCUUUGAUACUGGGUGUCUGGAGUAUGGAAGAGGUGAGUGGAAUUCCGAGUGUAGAGGUGAAAUUCGUAGAUAUUCGGAGGAACACCAGUGGCGAAGGCGGCUCACUGGUCCAUUACUGACGCUGAGGUGCGAAAGCGUGGGGAGCAAACAGGAUUAGAUACCCUUGUAGUCC
rnacentral:rRNA from 1 species